rnacentral:rRNA from 1 species
GACGAACGCUGGCGGCGUGCCUAAUACAUGCAAGUCGAGCGGAAGUUGGAGAGCUUGCUCUUCAACUUUAGCGGCGGACGGGUGAGUAACACGUGGGCAACCUGCCCUGCAGAUCGGGAUAACUCCGGGAAACCGGUGCUAAUACCGAAUAGUUUUCGCCACCUCCUGGUGGCGUACGGAAAGACGGUUUCGGCUGUCACUGCAGGAUGGGCCCGCGGCGCAUUAGCUAGUUGGUGGGGUAACGGCCCACCAAGGCGACGAUGCGUAGCCGACCUGAGAGGGUGAUCGGCCACACUGGACUGAGACACGGCCCAGACUCCUACGGGAGGCAGCAGUAGGGAAUCUUCCGCAAUGGACGAAAGUCUGACGGAGCAACGCCGCGUGAGUGACGAAGGUUUUCGGAUCGUAAAACUCUGUUGUGAGGGAAGAACAAGUACCACUUAACUACUGGUACCUUGACGGUACCUCACCAGAAAGCCACGGCUAACUACGUGCCAGCCGCCGCGGUAAGAC